AUUGAACGCUGGCGGCAGGCCUAACACAUGCAAGUCGAACGAGCGGCGGACGGGUGAGUAAUGUAUGGGGAACUGCCCGAUGGAGGGGGAUAACUACUGGAAACGGUAGCUAAUACCGCAUACCAUCGGAUGUGCCCAUAUGGGAGUAGCUGGUGGGUGAGGUAAUGGCUCACCUAGGCGACAAUCCCUAGCUGGUCUGAGAGGAUGAUCAGCCACACUGGGACUGAGACACGGCCCAGACUCCUACGGGAGGCAGCAGUGGGGAAUAUGGCACAAUGGGCGAAAGCCUGAUGCAGCCAUGCCGCGUGUAUGAAGCAGGCCUUCGGGUUGUAAAGUACUUUCAGCGGGGAGGCGUUACCCGCAGAAGAAGCACCGGCUAACUCCGUGCCAGCAGCCGCGGUAAUUC
rnacentral:rRNA from 1 species